AUGCUUAAAUAUAUACUGAAUCAACGAGUGCUGACUGAUUCAAAUAACCUGUUUGCUUGCUAGUUCUUCUUCUUUUUUUGGGUUUUUUUAUAUUGAUGAGUUUAAUGUGACGUCAUAUGAAGGGCUGAUAAAGGAAAGACGAACGCUUGUGAGACCUAUUUUGUGGUAUUUUUUGCAGGUAUUUAUCGAAAUCCAGAAAUGGGGGAAAAUUUUCUCGAGCUAUUGCUGCGUGGUGCUGGUCUUGUGUCCCGGGGGUGUAGUCCUACGGGAGCAUAGUUUCCCUCUGGGUAGUUGGACUUCCCAGAGGCAAUACCACCUCCUGGAGGACGUCCCGAUUUUCAUGCCUUUCAGGAACCAAUAAGGGGCAUCCUCUUCCCUUCUGAUGCCACGAUUCUCAGCAUCAUCGCGGAGGCUGGGAACUUAGUUUGGUUGACCGGCAGAACCUCAUCAACCGUGUAGGCGAGGUAGCAGUCGUUUUUGGAGUUUCUCGACUAGUCCACGGUCCAGUUUUUCUUGUCUUGUUGAUGUGUAAGGCGCAAAUCAAAUCGGCUGUACUUUACCUUUUGGCCUCCAUCGUGACAAUGAAUGAACCAAUUUUAGCCUCCCUGACACUAUCAAAGUGAAAGUCGCGAUUUGAUGUUAAUACACUAUAUAUGGUAAUAAGUUAUGAUUGGAAUGCAGAACGGAACAGAAAUAAUGGGUGAACGAAAAAAAUGAAACGGAACUUCAAAAUAUGGGAAUGCUUACAAGCCUGGUAAUAGUUAUAUAUUUUAACCAAAUUAGAGGGGUUCAUCUCCUUAAAUCCAUAGCAAAUUUAAUAAACGUAUUUCCUUGUUAUUAAAAAUUAGUUUGUACUAAUAUAUAAUUGAAAUGAUCACGAUUCCGAGUCAAGCCAUUAUUAUCUAAGAGAAUUCAAUAAAUAACAAUUGUAUUUUU
rnacentral:lncRNA from 1 species